UACGGAGGAUGCAAGCGUUAUCCGGAAUGAUUGGGCGUAAAGCGUCCGCAGGUGGCUGUGUAAGUCUGCUGUUAAAGAGCACAGCUUAACUUUGUAAAAGCAGUGGAAACUACACAGCUAGAGUGCGUUCGGGGCAGAGGGAAUUCCUGGUGUAGCGGUGAAAUGCGUAGAGAUCAGGAAGAACACCGGUGGCGAAGGCGCUCUGCUAGGCCGCAACUGACACUGAGGGACGAAAGCUAGGGGAGCGAAGGGG
rnacentral:rRNA from 1 species